rfam:Elusimicrobia bacterium RIFOXYA2_FTLL_58_8 rifoxya2_full_scaffold_1396, whole genome shotgun sequence.
UUACGAUAAUAGCAAAGCCGGUUAAAGCCGGCGGCGCAAAGUCAAGACCCGCUAAGUAAGCGGGGGUCAGACUACCGAA